AUGGUGUCGUGGAGCGACGAGACCAGUGAGGAUUCAGUCAUGAACAUCUCCUCCUCCUGCGAUGGCAUCAUCAAGCUUCCAGCUACGAUGCACGAUCCGAAUUUCAAUGGCACUGACGCAGAUGUGAAUGUUUUGUGCGAACACGACUCAAUGGAGAAGGCAUUGGCCAAGUUAUGGGAUAUGCAUGAGGAGAUUAAGUCAGCUAGGACCAAUGACAAUCUGGAGAGUUCCUUUGCAAUUCACAACCUGACAGAAGAGAAGAAGAAACUACAGGAGAAUUAUGACAGAUUGUAUGCUGAUGUCAAUGCUCUCUUGGAUGCCCAGCAGCAGAGGAGUCUGGAGUUGAACAAUCAAAAGGAGCAGAAGGAAUGUCUUGAUGUGAAGAUUGCAGAGCUAGAAACUGUAGUGGGCAACUUGAAGGCAGAGCUGGCAAAGAAAGAGGAGGAGAAGAAGAAAGUAGGGAGGACUAUGACAGUUUGUAUGCUGAUGUGA
rnacentral:rRNA from 1 species